AAUAAAGGAGUAGGUCCAGUAAGACCCCUUUUUGGCCCCAAAAUAUAGCAGUUUUACAAAAUUGUUAAAAUGUAAACUUUUAGUUAUUUAUUGGAUAGUAGAAUGGUGCUGCUACAUAAAUAUGGGCUGUUUUUGACAAUGCAAUGCACAUAUAUUGGGUACUAGCACCAUUAAGUCAUGCUAAAUUACUGAAAUCUUAACAAUUCCAGCAUUUUACUUAAAUUUUAGACGGUUUCCG
rnacentral:lncRNA from 1 species